AACGCACAUGGCGCCCCCCGGCAUCCCGGGGGGCAUGCCUGUCCGAGCGUCGUUUCAACCCUCGGGCCCGUUUCGUGGCCCGGCGUUGGGGACCUACGCACCGCCGUAGGCCCCGAAAAGCAGUGGCGGACCCGCGCCGGCCCCCCCUUGCGUAGUAGCAUCAGCCUCGCAUCGGGAGCCCGCGGGCCUAUCCGGCCUCUAAACCCCACCAAAGACCGCCCCCGGCGGCACCAAAGGUUGACCUCGGAUCAGGUAGGAAUACCCGCUGAACUUAA
rnacentral:misc_RNA from 1 species